rfam:Gossypium raimondii Chr10_contig_1197, whole genome shotgun sequence.
UAGUAAAAUUUCCAUCUAUCUCUAUUGUUAAAAACUGAUAUUGCUGACAAAAUAAUCAAAUAGUACGUGUGGUGCCAUGUGUACCUCAUUUUGAUGUACAAUGACCAAUUUUUAACAGUAAAAAUGGAUGAAAAUUUUACUA